rnacentral:rRNA from 1 species
CAGCCGUAAACUAUGCGCGUUAGGUGUACUGGUGACCACGAGUCACCGGGGUGCCGAAGGGAAACCGUGAAACGUGCCGCCUGGGAAGUACGGUCGCAAGGCUGAAACUUAAAGGAAUUGGCGGGGGAGCACCACAACGGGUGGAGCCCUGCGGUUUAAUUGGACUCAACGCCGGAAAUCUCACCGGAUAGGACAGACAUAUGAUAGUCGGGCUGAAGACUCUACUUGAUGAUCUGAGAGGAGGUGCAUGGCGUC